UACGUAGGGGGCAAGCGUUGUCCGGAUUUAUUGGGCGUAAAGAGCGUGUAGGCGGCUUGGUAGGUCCGCUGUGAAAACUCGAGGCUCAACCUCGAGAUGUCGGCGGAAACCAUCUGGCUAGAGUCCGGAAGAGGAAAGUGGAAUUCCUGGUGUAGCGGUGAAAUGCGCAGAUAUCAGGAAGAACACCAAUGGCGAAAGCAGCUUUCUGGGACGGUACUGACGCUGAGACGCGAAAGCGUGGGGAGCGAACAGG
rnacentral:rRNA from 1 species